rnacentral:rRNA from 1 species
GACGAACGCUGGCGGCGUGCUUAACACAUGCAAGUCGAACGGAGCGAAUGAAAGCUUGCUUUUAUGAGCUUAGUGGCAAACGGGUGAGUAACACGUAGACAACCUGCCGAUCAGAUGGGGACAACAUUCCGAAAGGAAUGCUAAUACCGAAUGAAGUGUGGGGGAGGCAUCUUCCCUACAUGAAAGAUGGCCUCUAUAUAUAAGCUAUCACUGAUCGAUGGGUCUGCGUCUGAUUAGCUAGUAGGUAAGGUAACGGCUUACCUAGGCGACGAUCAGUAGCCGGUCUGAGAGGAUGAACGGCCACAUUGGGACUGAGACACGGCCCAGACUCCUACGGGAGGCAGCAGUGGGGAAUCUUCCGCAAUGGGCGCAAGCCUGACGGAGCAACGCCGCGUGAGUGAAGAAGGUCUUCGGAUCGUAAAGCUCUGUUGAAGGGGACGAACGUACAUAAGUUGAAUAAGCUUAUGUAA